AAUGAACGCUGGCGGCGUGGAUUAGGCAUGCAAGUCGAACGCGAAAGUUCCCUUCGGGGAGCGAGUAGAGUGGCGAAAGGGUGAGUAAUGCUUGGAUGACCUGCCCUCGAGACGGGGACAACAGUUCGAAAGGACUGCUAAUACCCGAUAGUCCGGUUUAGAUGCGUCUAGAUCGGUAAAUGGUGCUUCCGCUCGAGGAGGGGUUCGAAGUCCUAUCAGCUUGUUGGUGAGGUAACGGCUCACCAAGGCGAUGACGGGUAGCCGGACUGAGAGGUUGGCCGGCCGACAUGGGAACGUGAGACACUGUCCUGACUCCUACGGGAGGCGUGCAGUCGAGAAUAC
rnacentral:rRNA from 1 species